rnacentral:rRNA from 1 species
GCCUACGGGGGGCAGCAGUGGGGGAUAUUGCACAAUGGGGGGAACCCUGAUGCAGCGACGCCGCGUGGGUGAAGAAGCGUUUCGGCGCGUAAAGCCCUAUCGGCAGGGAAGAAGGAGGACGGUACCUGACUAAGAAGCCCCGGCUAACUACGUGCCAGCAGCCGCGGUAAUACGUAGGGGGCAAGCGUUAUCCGGAUUUACUGGGUGUAAAGGGAGCGAAGGCGGGACUGCAAGUUGGGUGUCAAAUCUACCGGC